GACGAACGCUGGCGGCGUGCCUAAUACAUGCAAGUAGAACGCUGAAGGAGGAGCUUGCUUCUCUGGAUGAGUUGCGAACGGGUGAGUAACGCGUAGGUAACCUGCCUGGUAGCGGGGGAUAACUAUUGGAAACGAUAGCUAAUACCGCAUAAUAGUAGAUGUUGCAUGACAUUUGCUUAAAAGGUGCAAUUGCAUCACUACCAGAUGGACCUGCGUUGUAUUAGCUAGUUGGUGGGGUAACGGCUCACCAAGGCGACGAUACAUAGCCGACCUGAGAGGGGGAUCGGCCACACUGGGACGGAGACACGGCCCAGACUCCUACGGGAGGCAGCAGUAGGGAAUCUUCGGCAAUGGACGGAAGUCUGACCGAGCAACGCCGCGUGAGUGAAGAAGGUUUUCGGAUCGUAAAGCUCGGUUGUAAGAGAAGAACGAGUGUGAGAGUGGAAAGUUCACACUGUGACGGUAUCUUACCAGAAAGGGACGGCUAACUACGUG
rnacentral:rRNA from 1 species